rnacentral:rRNA from 1 species
CGGGUGAGUAAUACGUAUGCAACCUGCCUGCCACAGCCGGAUAAUCGGGAGAAAUUCCGUCUAAUACGGCAUAAUGCAUCGACGGGACAUCCUGUUGGUGCCAAAGGUUAAUUCCGGUGGCGGAUGGGCAUGCGUCGCAUUAGUUAGUUGGCGGUGUAACGGACCACCAAGACGACGAUGCGUAGGGGUUCUGAGAGGAAGGUCCCCCACACUGGUACUGAGACACGGACCAGACUCCUACGGAAGGCAGCAG